AUACGGGAAAUAUCCAUACCAUCCACCAAAUCGACUGCCGUGCACUCAUUUAUCAGAUGUCGUCCCAACACGUUCACGAAAAAAUGCACUGUACCAGUCAUCUCGACUACCAUAUGGGGAGCAUACCUUGAUAAAGAAUCAAACUGCAUAUUGUACUCUCGCUCACUAAUAUUACCUUGUCUAAGGUUCAAGAACUUAUCAGCUCUAGCUCGUCG
rnacentral:lncRNA from 1 species